UACCAGCACCCCGAGUGGUCGGGACGUUUAUUGGGCCUAAAGCAUCCGUAGCCGGUCAUGCAAGUCCUCCGUUAAAUCCAGCCGCUCAACGGUUGGGCUGCGGAGGAUACUACGUGGCUAGGAGGCGGGAGAGGCAAGCGGUACUCAGUGGGUAGGGGUAAAAUCCUUUGAUCCGUAGAAGACCACCAGUGGCGAAGGCGGUCCGCCAGAACGCGCUCGACGGUGAGGGAUGAAAGCUGGGGGAGCGAACCGG
rnacentral:rRNA from 1 species